rnacentral:rRNA from 1 species
AGGGAAUCUUCGGCAAUGGGCGAAAGCCUGACCGAGCGACGCCGCGUGGGGGAUGAAGGCCUUCGGGUCGUAAACCCCUGUCCUUGGGGACGAAGUGCUGACGGUACCCAAGGAGGAAGCCCCGGCUAACUACGUGCCAGCAGCCGCGGUAAAACGUAGGGGGCGAGCGUUGUCCGGAAUCACUGGGCGUAAAGGGUGCGUAGGCGGCCGCUUAAGUCCUGUGUGAAAGGCUCUGGCUUAACCGGGGACGGCCAUGGGAAACUGGGCGGCUUGAGUGCCGGAGAGGGUGGCGGAAUUCCCGGUGUAGCGGUGAAAUGCGUAGAGAUCGGGAGGAACACCAGUGGCGAAGGCGGCCACCUGGACGGUAACUGACGCUGAGGCACGACAGCUGGGGGAGCAAAC